rnacentral:rRNA from 1 species
AUUGAACGCUGGCGGCAGGCCUAACACAUGCAAGUCGAACGGUAACAGGAAGAAUCCUGCUUCUUUGCUGACGAGUGGCGGCCGGGUGAGUAAUGUCUGGGAAACUGCCUGAUGUAGGGGGAUAACUACUGGAAACGGUAGCUAAUACCGCAUAACGUCGCAAGCCCAAAGAGGGGGACCUUCGGUCCUCUUUCCAUCGGAUGUGCCCAGAUGGGAUUAGCUAGUAGGUGGGGUAACGGCUCACCUAGGCGACGAUCCCUAGCUGGUCUGAGAGGAUGACCAGCAACACUGGAACUGAGACACGGUCCAGAAUCCUACGGGAGGCAGCAGUGGGGAAUAUUGCACAAUGGGCGCAAGCAUGAUGCAGCCAUGCCGCGUGUAUGAAGAAGGCCUUCGGGUUGUAAAGUACUUUCAGCGGGGAGGAAGGGAGUAAAGUUAAUACCUUUGCUCAUUGACGUUACCCGAAGAAGAAGCACCGGCUAACUCCGUG